UGCGGUCCAAAUCCUCCCGUCUUCCCAUGAGAGAGGGGUGAGAAAUGGCUGUGUAGGAGCGAGCUCAGAUGCCGGUGACCUACGAGGAGGUGGCUGUGUAUUUCACCCAGGGGCAGGGGGCUCUGCUGGACCCCGCUCAGAGAGCCCUCUACAGGGAUGACAUGCAGGAGAAUUACGAGACGGUGACCUCACUGGGAUUGCCCAUUCCCAAACCUGACCUGAUCUCCCAGCUGGAGCAAGGGGAAAAGCCGUGGGUGCCCGAUCUCCAGGCCUGCGAGGAAAGAGAGAUCUCGAGAGGCGCUCACAUAGGUGAGGACCGACAUGGAAAC